UCGAACGAUGAAGUCCUAGCUUGCUAGGAUGGAUUAGUGGCGCACGGGUGAGUAAUAUAUAGUUAAUCUGCCCUACACAGAGGAACAACAGUUGGAAACGACUGCUAAUACCUCAUACUCCUAUUUGACAUAAGUUAAAUAGGGAAAGUCUUUUCGGUGUAGGAUGAGACUAUAUCGUAUCAGCUAGUUGGUAAGGUAAUGGCUUACCAAGGCUAUGACGCGUAACUGGUCUGAGAGGAUGAUCAGUCACAUUGGAACUGAGACACGGUCCAAACUCCUACGGGAGGCAGCAGUAAGGAAUAUUGCGCAAUGGGGGAAACCCUGACGCAGCAACGCCGCGUGGAGGAUGACACUUUUCGGAGCGUAAACUCCUUUUAUCAGGAAAGAAUAAUGACGGUACCUGAUGAAUAAGCACCGGCUAACUCCGUGCCAGCAGCCGCGGUAAUACGGGGGGUGCAAGCGUUACUCGGAAUCACUGGGCGUAAAGGACGCGUAGGCGGAUUAUCAAGUCUUUUGUGAAAUCUAGUGGCUUAACCACUAAACUGCUUAGGAAACUGAUAGUCUAGAGUAGGGGAGAGGUAGAUGGAAUUCUUGGUGUAGGGGUAAAUCCGUAGAGAUCAAGAAGAAUACCCAUUGCGAAAGCGAUCUGCUGGAACCUAACUGACGCUGAGGCGUGAAAGCGUGGGUAGCAAACAGGAUUAGAUACCCUGGUAGUCCACGCCCUAAACGAUGUAUACUAGUUGUUGCUUUGCUAGUCAAGGCAGUAAUGCAGCUAACGCAUUAAGUAUACCGCCUGGGGA
rnacentral:rRNA from 1 species